AUUGAACGCUGGCGGCAUGCCUAACACAUGCAAGUCGAACAGCAGCAUGGUCUAGCUUGCUAGACUGAUGGCGAGUGGCGAACGGGUGAGUAAUGCGCAGGAAUAUACCUUAUAGAGGGGGAUAACAUGGGGAAACUCAUGCUAAUACCGCAUAAUAUCGAGAGAUGAAAGCUGGGGACCUUUAGGCCUGGCGUUAUAAGAAUAGCCUGCGUCCGAUUAGCUAGUUGGUGGGGUAAGGGCCUACCAAGGCGACGAUCGGUAGCUGGUCUGAGAGGAUGAACAGCCACACUGGGACUGAGACACGGCCCAGACUCCUACGGGAGGCAGCAGUGGGGAAUAUUGGACAAUGGGGGGAACCCUGAUCCAGCAAUGCCGCGUGUGUGAAGAAGGCCUGAGGGUUGUAAAGCACUUUCAGUUAGGAGGAGGGUUAAUUGAUUAAGAGUUGAUUAACUGGACGCUACUGACAGAAGAAGCACCGGCUAACUCCGUGCCAGCCGCCGCCGUAA
rnacentral:rRNA from 1 species